rnacentral:rRNA from 1 species
UACAGAGGGUGCAAACGUUGUUCGGAAUUACUGGGCGUAAAGCGCGUGCAGGCGGCCUUGCAAGUCGGACGUGAAAUCCCACGGCUCAACCGUGGAAGUGCAUUCGAAACUGCGAGGCUGGAGUCCUGGAGAGGCGAGUGGAAUUCCGAGUGUAGAGGUGAAAUUCGUAGAUAUUCGGAAGAACACCAGUGGCGAAGGCGGCUCACUGGACUGGUAUUGACGCUGAGGUACGAAAGCGUGGGGAGCAAACAGG